CUACCGGUACACAUGCAGCACAGACCCUCGCCCAUAGUGACCAGCGGCCACAUGGUGGCGGUACGCCCCGACGAGCGACCACGCCGGUGUCUGCGAGAUUCCCCCCCCCCCUGACGGCCCGGGCGAGGACGAUGAUUGUAACAUCCCGGAAUCCACAAACACCCCGGAAUGCUACUGAACUACACUUCUGACAUCCGUAUAUAAAAUUUCGACAGCAUCUCCUUUGCAAAAUAGCAUAAAGGAGGGGGCAACAGUGUAUAAACAUGUAUCAUGACAAAAAAAACAUACUAAGUAUUAUUAAACGGCUAGCAAAGGAAAGUUAAACAUACGACAUGAACUGAAUUAACCAAUGCGCAUGACUAGUAAAAAAACAAACUUCCUUUGACAUCAAGUUUCUAAUUAAAUCAUGGAUGCGCUUGGGCAGCCUUAAUAUGAGAGUGAAAGUGGACGUGCUGCUACUCCCCUCAUUCCCAACAUAUAUCAAGUACCUGCAUUGAGUAAUGCAAGAGUGAGAUGACACAUCUCAGCAAGUAAAAUAAUAACAAACCGUUUAACCACAUAAGAACAUUGUUUUACCACCAUUUGGUUUCGCAACCUUCUUAUUACAAAGGUGCAGCACGAAUACAACGUACAACACACCUAGUUACCACACCUCGCAGGUAGAAACCACAAUAGUAACAUAGUAAUGUCACACUUCAUAUAUACCUCAUGAGUGCAAAUGUCUGCAAAUGCAAGGAUGACUUCUGCCUUCAUACCUCUAAGGAUAUGAAGCCGCAUCGUACCCCUCCUCGGGCAACGUACGAUGCUAAAAGUGUACCGGUACGGUCGGACCAUAAGAUCACGACAUAACUUCAAAAUGCAAUAUGGAUGAUGCGAUGUGCAUGACAUGCCUACAACACUUCAUACAACAUGAUUCAAAAGAAUACUUCAACUUCAUCCAAGAUGGGAAUCAACCACAUAUAUCAUUCCCAAAUCAUGAUCAUCCUCAAUAUUAGAAAAUUGAGAAUUAAUUCUUUCGAACAAAUAAACUUCAUCAUAGAAUUCAAUGAUUAACACAUUUAAUACUUAUGCAUACUCAAUGACAAGGCAUAGGAUGCAAACCAAACGGUAGCAACCAACACUGUAUUUACUUGCCUUCACCGGGAAUUUGGAAUGGUACUAAGUACGAUCCGGAAGUCCACCACCUGUUUUUGACACACACCUUAGUGUACAAAUCAACAUAACAAACGCUAAUAAACAACGCCGCACCUACGCACAAUUCCAACCCGUUGCGAGCGACAACUCUCCCCAUCACCACCAAACUGCAGCGGUGCUGCUUGAUAAUUUCAUAACUUUAAAAUUAUAACAGCAGUGAUAUCAAUCAAAAACUACGGACGCAUCUACAUAAAAUUUCCCACAAGUUUUAUAUUCAAAUGAUAAUUAAAUUCCAGCAUCUAAUUAGCCCAAACUCGUCUACAAGAUACACCCUGCAAUCUGUUUUUGGACAGCAACAUAACCGGAUUCAAACAGCGAUAUCUCCUAAAUUAUAACUCCGAAUCGAACGCAUAAGUACUCGUUGGAAAGGUAUGACAAGGCUCUACAUGAUUCUCAUAUUGAUUAUCACCAAUUUCCCACGAAAAAUUCCCAGAAACUGCUAAUACUACUGCUGUUCGCCCACCUGCAUAAAUCUGUUUUUUUUUUGACAGCAACAUACCCGGAUUCAAACAGCAAUGUCUCCUAAAAUAUAACUCCGAAUCGAGUGCAUAAGUACUCGUUGGAAAGGUAUGACAAAGCUCUAAAUGAUUCUCAUAUUGAUUAUCACUAAGUUCCCACGAAAAAUCCCCAGAAACUGCUAAUACUACUGCUGUUUGCCCACCUGCAAAUCUGUUUUUUUGGACAGCAACAUACCCGGAUUCAAACAGCGAUAUCUCCUAAAAUAUAACUCCGAAUCGAGCGCAUAAGUACUCGUUGGAAAGGUAUGAAAAAGCUCUACAUGAUUCUCCCACUGAUUCCCACUAAUUACCCACGAAAAAUUCCCAGAAUCUGCUAGAACUACUGCUGUUCGCGCACCCACAAAAUUUCUGGACAGCACCUCUACCAAUUCGCAUACGUAAACAUCUAAUCGAUUGAAUUGCAGCACAAAUAAACAAGAGUUAAUCACAAAAUCACCUUGGGUUCCUCCUUUCCUCCUUCCUUCCUCCCACCAAUUCUCCAAUCGGAACUUGCACCCACACGAAGAAGAUCCGGCGAGGAAGGACAUCACUUGGAGAGGAGGAGAUGGGAGGGGGGUGGCGGCUAGGGUUGAGGGGAUGGGGGCUGCUGCACAAGAGAGAGGGAAUUAGGGGGAGGGGAUGGCGGCCAAAGGCUAGA
rnacentral:lncRNA from 1 species